GCAAAUACCAAAUAAGAGGAUGUUAGGGCACAGGAGGAGGACCGGGUUAAUUGGGUCUUGCUGAGUAUGGGGGGCAAGGGUCACAGCUGGGCCCUGCAGGGUUCCUGUUUGCCUUUGAUUCCAUCUGGGCAGGGAGGGAACUGGCCCCUAAGCCCGUGAGGAAGGUUUGCUUUGGCCAGAGAUCUGACCCAGGCCCUGGCCCGGAGCACCCCGCCUCCUUGCUCCGCCUAUCAAGAGGCAGCCUGGCUUGGUCCCCAGCCUCCUCUUUCCUCCCUUACCAGCCCCUUCCACUUAGCCCAGGAUGUAGCUCUGUUUAUCUGCCUGUUCCCUUUGGCCUCUGGACACCCAACUAGGACAGGAUGCCCUGCAAACAUCUGGCACGCGAAGACAUGGCCCUCCUCCCACAGAAUGGACUCUUCCUCGAACUCCAGGGAGCUUGGCCUCCUCGGCACCUCAGUUUCUCUGAAAGUCCAGGAUCCUUCUGCUCUAGUGCUCCUGUCUGGAAGUUCCCAUCACUUCCCGGGUGUGUGUGUGUGUGUGUGUGUGUGUGUGUGAGACUUCGUCGACAGUACAUUCUCUUUCUGACAGCUAUUGCAUCAUUCAGACAUUCAGUCUACGUGCUGGACACUUACUGUGCACCAUAUUCUACGAAGAUGGCAAGAAGGAGAAGAUGGCUCUUAGUUGGAAGAUUCAGGAAAGUCUUCGUGGAGGAGGUGACAUUCUAGUUAGGCCAUGACAGAGAUCUGGCUCAGAGAGAAAAAGGAGAGGGAACAGCCUGAGCACAGGCAGACGGCGCAGUACCCAGAGCCCAAAGGAGAAACAUGGAGAUACUGGAAGAGGAUGUUGGAGCCAAAUCAUGGGCCCUGAACGCCUGUCAUUUUAAACGCUUGUGUUUCCUAAAAGGCUCUGAUGAUAAGAGUCACCUGGAUGCUUGUUAAAAAUAUAAAACAGCAGGCACGUCUCUCAGAGAUUCUGAUUCAUGAGGGUGGAGGUGGGCAGUGGGAGUCUGUAUUUUUACCAUCAAGCAAGUUUGAGAAACAUCGCUAUAAACAAUAUGGAACCAUUUAAA